CAGAAGCCCUCAGCUUGCCCGUUUGGGCAGAGGGAUCCUCCUCGCAUCACUGCUCCAAGACUGCAGAAACACCAGGAGGACAUCUGGGAAGCGUCUUGAGAAGAACUGAAUCAGCAUGGAAGAAACGUUUGAGAGUCCCUGAGAAGGAAGAUGGAGUAAAACUCAAGUCUCAUUGAGGCUCUUUUUAUGUAGGAGUAGCUAAAACCCUGUCUUGUUCUGUUAAAGAGACUGAGAUCUCUCAGCCUUUCCUCGUGGAGAGAUGUUCCAGUCCUCUUGGCAUCCUUGUGGCCCUCCACUGGAUUUUCCCAUUUCUUAUUUUUGAUUUGGGGAACCAGAUCAAAAGUGUUUGUACCUCUUUCAUGACUGAAGUGAGGAGCUUCUAUGCAUCCAUAACUAUCUGAAUUCUCAGAAUAAGCAGCUGGGAGAUACACAUCCCCUGAAAAAAAACUGUAUUGUGAAAUCACAGAAUCAUGAAGGUCUACCCCAACCAAAAGAGUUCUAAGAUCAUGAUGUUAUCAAUCUUUAACUAAAGACUACCAUGGCUAUUAAAAUGUCCUGAUCUGCCAUGUCCAGAAACACCUCCAGGAAGAUGACUCCACCUCCUCUUCCAAUGCCUGACCACCCUUGUAGGCAAGAUUUUUUUUCCUAAUUAAAGUCUAACCCUUCCCUGGUGCAAUGUUAGGCCAUUUCCUUUCAUCCUGUCAGCUGAUUCUGGGGAGAGGAGACCACCCCCCACCUCAUUCCAACCUCCUGUAGCUGCAAGGGGCGUGCACAGAAGUUUGCCUAUGUGUUGUUCCUGGUCUUAACAAUGUGUUUGACCUUGCUUCCCUUUUUCUCUCCCUGAGCCCUAUUGGGAUGUGACUAACAAGCACCACAUGCAGAAGGAAUAUUUUCUCUCUGGAGUUAUUUAUCCAAGUCCAGUCAUUGCAAACUGCAACCACACCAUGACAAGAGACAGCCCAUAUGAUUGAAGUGUUUCUCCUGGUAGAAUGUAUUUAUCAGGCUUUCUUUUUUUCCUAAGAUUUGAAAGCAGCUCUUUCCCUUAACUUCAGUUAAAAUGUAAUCACUCUCUAUUUCCAACCAAAUGCAUAUGUAUUGUUCUUAGAGUAUUUUUCACUGAUAAAGGGCUCCUCAGGUUUUUUCUCUGCUUAUCUUGCAAUAUGAAGAACCUGUUAUUGUUCACUACUGAAUAGCAGAGAUAAUACCUAAUUUCCCAACUUUCAAGUGGAGCUUUGUCUUGUACCCAGUGAGUAGAAUAAGAUAUACAGUGUAAUUGGCUUUUCACAUAACUUUAGCUACAGUUUUUCCAGCCAGUCAUGGAGUUAUACAUAAUAUUGAUGGAGAGCUGUGAGAAAAGAGAAUAAUAUUAAAAUUAAUCAGAAGCAAGUAAAACAGUCCCACAAAACUCAAGCCUGUUCCUAGUGUCAAUGCUACAGGCUCUCAGUCUUGUAUGAAUGGGUAAAAUAUACUGAAUUUGGACUUCUAUUUCAGAGAAAGCAACAUCCCUCACAUUUGCAGUGUUCUUUCUAAAGGGUCAAUGACCUUAAAAAAUGAAUAAAUAUCUAUUAUUUGACAGUUGAAGCACUGAAGGUUGGGAUUUAGCAGAGUCAGGUGCAACCCUGCUGGGAAGGAGGGAGAAACAAAAUUCUCUCUGCAUUCUUGAAUAGCUUCAUGCAUUCAUGCUAGGUUUGACUACCUAGUGCAGGAAUUUUUACUCCCUUGGUGUCCCCAGGAAGGGGAAGAAAGGGGGUAGUGAAACAAUCUAAGUGGAAAACAUGGAUCUUGCCCCUGAAAUAAAGGGGUAGCAGGUGGCUUUCUUUCCUCCAUGAGAAUAAUUUACUUCAAAGGGUCUCACUGAUGUGGUGGUCUAUGGAAAUAUUCAUAAGGUAUUGCAGCUUGCUUGCCCAUCUGAGUGCACACUGGCACACAGUGAUUUUUGAUUAGUUUGUGAAAGGCAAAGCCUGACAUUUGCAGAGCAUGGCUUGCCUCCAUCCUCUUUCUGUACCCUCACUUUCAGGUAUUUGUAGACAUUGAUAAGAUCCCCACUGAGCUUUCUCUUCUCCAGGUAGAGAAGUCCCAGGUCUCAGCUUUUACUCACAGGUGAAAUAUUCCAGUCCUUUCAUCUUCUUCAUGGCUCCCUGCUGGAUAGAUGCUGUUGAGUAAAUCAAUGUUUCCUGUGUUGAAUCCAGAAGUAGAUGUUGUACUCCAGGUGUGGACUCACCAGUACCGAGUAAAGGGGAAGGAUCACCUCCCUGGACCUGAGGACAAACUUCCUCUGAAUGCAGCCCAGGAUGCCUGACUGUGGGGGUGGUUUUCUGGCCUCUCCCCCACAGCCUUGAUGCCUCCUGAGAAGGGAUACAGGCAGACCUGCACACCAAAGCUUGGCCUGCCAUUGUCUGUGUGUUAGACACCCAUUCUGCAGCAAAACACAACUUCUGCUUUCAGGCUUCUCAGCCCAGUGUCUGUUGAAAUCUACACUCUCUUUUUU